rnacentral:rRNA from 1 species
UACGUAGGCAGCGAGCGUUGUUCGGAGUUACUGGGCGUAAAGGGUGCGUAGGCGGCCUUUUAAGUUUGGUGUGAAAUCUCCCGGCUCAACUGGGAGGGUGCGCCGGAAACUGAGAGGCUAGAGUGCGGGAGAGGAAAGUGGAAUUCCUGGUGUAGCGGUGAAAUGCGUAGAUAUCAGGAGGAACACCGGUGGUGUAAACGGCUUUCUGGACCGUAACUGACGCUGAGGCACGAAAGCGUGGGGAGCAAACAGG